AUUUGAUUAUGCUGGUGAUGGACAGACAGAAAACAGGCAAUAUGAUUCACCCUAAAGCUAACACUCCAUGGUCUGCAGAUAUACAGAGAAUGUUGCCCCAAUUUCCCCAGCCAGAUGCCUGGGCUCUCUAAGAAGUGAUUAGUAACAAACUUCCCAGACUCUGGGACCUCUGGAAUUCUGACAUUUACUAAAUUUUGUCAGGAGUUCAGCAAAGCAAUGUUCACUGAUCAAGGCUAAAUGAAUUAUAGAGUCAAAAAGAGCUGUAAGACUAAAAAGAGAAGGGUGGUUUGUAUAAGGCAGUAUAUGAUUUUAUUUGAAUCGUUCCCCAUUUAAUAUGUAAUUAUAGUUUAUUACCUUCAUGCAUAACUCAGCCAGAAAAGUGGCUUGCCUGAGGAUUUCUCUUCUCUGAGAUCUUGGCAGUUCUGCUUUAUAUAAGAGGGUUCUUGGUUGCUAGAUUUCAAGCUACAAUCUGCAUAGAGAGGGAACGUUUUCUCUGAACCGACUAAGAAGACAAGGUGAAAUCAAAGAAGAGCCACUUCCCCCUGCUACCGCCCGGGGCUCCUCACUUACCUCUGUGAAAUAUGCAUCAGCCCUAAUGAAAACGUAGGGUCCUUGGGAAGGAAAAUCAAAAUUCAAGUGCAGGAAAAGCUGUCAGCUGCUUGGCCCAAGAGCCCUGUAAUAUUAACCUCUGUGCAUGUGUAAAUUGCACCUCCAGCCGUGAGAUUACUGAGUAAGUGUCCCGCCACAUCAGCCCGGGAGAGGUUAAGAGCUGCUUUGCAUUCAGAGUUGCUUCUCAAUUAUCUUAGCACAGGUGGGGUUGGCAACGGUCAGUCCAGCAAGUGUAUUAAAGCCAUGCAAUAUUUAGGAUAUUCCAAAAUUAGGAACAUGCAUUAUAUGUGACCGGAUUGUCAAAUAAAAUGUAAUAUAAAAAGAAGCUUGAGAAAUCAGCAUGGAAAUAAAUAAAAAGAACCACAAAAGGGAGGUUCUUGUAUAGAUUAGAUCCACUACACUGCCCUGGUCACCCAGCUGUGCUUAUUAGAAGACCUAGCACAAGGUCUUUAUCAAAUGCUUCUGAUCAUAGAAUUCUAAUGACAUCACCCUGGAGGAAAGGCAGGGCAUAUUUUCCUGCUAAAAUUGCAUUGAAAAUCAGCCUUCCAAGCAAGUUCUGGGGUCCACAGUACAGCAAAGGAGUAUUGUUAAACUCUACUGAGGACCUGACAAUAGCUAAGAUACCAGAUAUGAAGAAUUUCCCUGCACACGUGUACACUCAGAUCAUUAAUCAUGUAAGGAGGUGAAUGUGCUAAUUAGCAUGAUUUUAGCAAGAAUUUUACAACAUAUAUCAAGUUAUUUUCUUGUGUAAGUCAAAUGAUAUUUUGAGUUGUUGAUUAUAUCUCC
rnacentral:lncRNA from 1 species